CUCCCAAAGAGUAACGGAGGCGCGCGAAGGUUCCCUCAGGCUGAUUGGAAACCAGCCGUAGAGUGUAAAGGCAUAAGGGAGCUUGACUGCGAGAGAGACAUCUCGAGCAGAUACGAAAGUAGGUCUUAGUGAUCCGGCGGUUCCUCAUGGAAGGGCCGUCGCUCAACGGAUAAAAGGUACUCCGGGGAUAACAGGCUAAUCGCGUCCAAGAGUUCACAUCGACGACGCGGUUUGGCACCUCGAUGUCGGCUCAUCGCAUCCUGGGGCUGGAGUAGGUCCCAAGGGUUUGGCUGUUCGCCAAUUAAAGCGGUACGUGAGCUGGGUUUAGAACGUCGUGAGACAGUUCGGUCCCUAUCUUUCGUGGGCGUAGGAUAUUUGAGAGGAUCUGUCCCUAGUACGAGAGGACCGGGAUGGACGAACCGCUAGUGUGCCAGUUGUCGCGCCAGCGGCAUAGCUGGGUAGCUACGUUCGGAAUGGAUAACCGCUGAAAGCAUCUAAGCGGGAAACCAACCUCAAGAUUAGAUAUCCCUCUACUUCGGUAGACUAAAGACCCCUUGUAGACUACAAGGUUGAUAGGCCGGAUGUGUAAGUGCGGUGACGCAUUUAGCUAACCGGUACUAAUCGGUCGUGCGACUUGGCCAU
rnacentral:rRNA from 1 species